rnacentral:lncRNA from 1 species
UGCGAGUUUCUAACCGUAAUGUGGGCCAACAAUACCCCAGCCAUAUGAUUUUGAAGUCUAGUGCUCUUCCUCCCUCAUGGAGUCCGCACGAGCCUUCGUGUACUUCUUGGAUAACUUUAUCCGUAUCGGGUUUGGCCAAACAACGUAGCAAUGGGUUGUCGAAGGACUUUCUGUAAAGUACUCCUCCGACGUCGCAGUACUUGGCUGCCUUGUGUUGCAAUUUUUUGGCCUCGCCCCUAUUGUCGAGAAGUACACCAUUUUGAAUGAAUGCCAGUAUGUGUUGUCUCCAAUCCUCCGGGGGAUCAGAUGUGACAUUCAAGACCUGGCAUAUCGGGAAGGUUAACUGGUGAGACAUGCCUGAUUACGUCAGUCACUCCUAGCAACGCUCUUCAAACAAGGAAUAGGGUUCCGUCACUAUAUGCCAGAAGUCGUCACACUUCAGGAGGGAAUAUCACAAGCUCUCUCCAUCGUUAGGGUUCCAAAUUACAAGGCAACCCUCGAGUGUCGAAUAUUUCUGAUUCGUCGUCUGCUCUAUCUCUAGUAACUCUACAUUAAUCUGGAGGUAUAAAUUAUCCAUAAAUUUAACCGUAGGCUGAGCUACGAUUCGUACGACCAAGUCUACGCCCAG